rnacentral:rRNA from 1 species
AUGGAAAAGUGUUUGUCGGCGGGAGGAAAGGAGGUUCUUAUCAAGUCGGUGGCACAAGCCAUUCCGACUUACUCAAUGGCAUGUUUUAAGUUACCCCGUGGUUUGUGUGAACACAUAAACGGUCAGAUUCGGAAAUUCUGGUGGGGGAGUAAGAAUGGCGAGAGAAAGACAGCUUGGGUGUCUUGGAAAACCAUGUCAAAACCAAAGUUUAUGGGGGGCUUAGGCUUUCGAGAUAUUGAGUUAUUCAACCUGGCCUUACUUGCUCGACAAGCUUGGAGAUUAUUGCAGAAACCGGAGUCUUUGAGUGCACGAGUGUUAAAAGCCCGGUAUUUCCCUAACACCGAUCUUCUACAGGCCAAUCUGGGUUCGGCCCCUUCCCAAGUUUGGCGAUCUCUUGUUGAAGGAAGGGAUAUAUUACAACUGGGACUUAUCAGGAGAAUUGGAAAAGGUGCAGACACAAACGUUUGGCAAGAUAAUUGGAUCCCAAGGGACUAUAAACUGAGACCCAUAUGUGCCCGCUCUUUGAAUCCUCCGGUUUUGGUCUCGGAGCUUAUAAACCCUGCUACUUGCUCAUGGAAUAAGCAUGCGUUGACUGAACAUUUCAUUGUGGCUGAUGUUGAGGCUAUUCUUAAUAUACCACUUAGCACGCGGAUGCAAGAGGACUUUUGGGCAUGGCACUAUGAUAGGCGUGGUAUUUUCUCAGUAAGAUCAGCCUAUAGGAUGAUCUGUGCCAUCAAAACUCAACGGGAAGACUGGUUAGAGCAUCGGCCAAGUCAUUCAAAUAUUGCAGCUAGCAAGAACUCUUGGACACAGUUGUGGAAGGUGAGGAUUCCAUCGAAGAUUCGAGUCUUUGUUUGGCGGUUGGCACAUACAUCUAUACCGACGGGGAUAGUCCGGCAUGAAAGGAGGAUGGCUGAUACCCCAGCAUGCUCCUGCUCCUUAUGUGGGGCGGUAGAGGAUACAUGGCGUCAUUCACUACUCAAUUGCCGCCUGGCAAGAUGUGUGUGGGCGUUGGAAGAUCAUGAUCUGGUGGGGCAUGUGAUCUCAAACCAAACGGAGGAUCCUAAGCUAUGGCUGUUCUGGCUUUUCGAAACAACCAACCAGCAGGACCUAGCUCGAGUUUUGGUAACUAUGUGGGCAAUUUGGUGGGCUCGAAGGAAGGCAAUCCAUGAGAAUGAAUACCAGAGCCCGCUGUCAACUAUGUGCUUUAUCAAUAGAUUCAUGGAAGAUCUGGAGAUAGCCAAUAUGCGCAGCCCCCAGAAAAUCAAGGGAAGUACGGCUAGACCUCAUGCAAAAGUCUGGCUACCACCACCCGGCGAUGCAGCAAAGUUUAACUGUGAUGGUGGCCUAUCAUCUUUGGGGGAAAAGGGAGCAGCUGGAGUUGUAUGUCGGGAUAAAAAUGGGAAAUACUUAGGUGCGUCGGCGGUGGUGUACGAAGGCCUAUCUGACCCGGCAAGCUUGGAGGCUCAAGCAUGCAGCGAGGCACUAGCCCUCGCACGGGAUCUGAACCUACAGGAGCUUGUGAUUGCCUCAGACUGUGUCGAAGUAAUAACUAAUAUCAGCAACGCAGGAUCGCCAUCUUAUGCUCCCAUUCUGAGGGAAAUCCAAACUAGUAGGGCAAACUUUACAUCUGUUUCUUUCCGCUUUGAAAGUAGAGUUAAUAAUUUUGAGGCCCAUUCGCUUGCUAAGGGAGUUGCGUCUCUCGCGGUGGGUCGCCAUGUGUGGCUAGGGGUUCUGCCAGAUAUUGCUUGUAUUCCGGAUGUUUUGAACUUUGAAUAA